UUGCACGGGCACUUAUUGCAAACCGGGGGGAGGAAAAAAAAAAAAAGAAGAAGAAACAGACUGCAUCGCUGCUUUGCUGCCCCCCUCCCCAAUCUCCCUUUGAAGUUAGCAAUGGGAUCAGCAAGCACUAAUUGGACCCCUAAUUUCCGAGCAUUUGAGAGAGCAAGAUCCGCGCCAGUCAAGCGAAGACCAGAUUAAUCCGAAUGAAAGUCGUGCCCACCCCCCGGGAGCCCGUGUGCCUGGUGCGGGGUGGGCUGGGCUCCCCGCGGGGCUGGCUCCGCUCCGCUCCGCUCGCCGCGUACACACGUGCUCCGCGUUCCCGCACUGACACGUUCCCGCUGGGGAAGCCGAGCGGGUCGCGGAGGGUCCCAGUGUUUCAGAACCCUGGAAAGAAAUACUGUAAAGAUAAAUGGAAACAAGAGACCCACUUCUGACGCAUAAGUAUCUCAUUCGUGAAGGUAAAUAUAUUCCUGGCUUUAAUUAGAAGAUGCGGUAUUCAUAUUUAUGGAGAUAUAUCUGGAGCAGGUGAGGGGAGUCACAGCGGUGCCAUUUGUAUUUAAGUAAACUAACCUAUUCAUUCUUUACGAGUCAUGCUAUGAACAAAACUGGAUUUUGUCUUAGCUUCUCAGGCUGCCGCACAGGGUGAGUGUUUAAAUUUCUUCCUUAAAAUGGAAACUGGGGUUUUUGGAAGGUCAGGAGACGUGUAGUCCUCAUACAGCUUACUGUAAUAAAUCUUAACCCAAAGGUGCAUUUUAUUUGACGUCUUUCUACUAGUCUUUACUUGGGGCUAAACCUUGCCCCCAGGCUCAUCUCAAAACCAACUCCAUGGGUUUGGUACUCUAGUUUCAGAGAGUUUCACAGUUGGGAUGGACAAAGUAAUUGCAGAUCUCAGCAAUAGAGCUCUAUAUUAUUCAGAGCGAGGUGAGAAAUGAUAGUCAAUUCUCUUGAGUUUUCACAAUGAAAAUAAUACAAUAUCUUUUUUGGGGGGGAGCUAAUCGGAAAAGAAUUGGUUUGGUCAAAAUGUUUCAGUUUAGUCAUUUUUGAACACUGCUUCAAGUGGGACCUUUUACAAUGUGUUACCUUUCUUCAGAAACAAUUAGCUAACAUUUUGAAAGAAAAAAGCUGAUUCAAACCAAUAAAAUAUAACUCUUCCUUUCAAAACAGGGUAUUUGUUACAAUUUUGAUUCCCCCCCCCCACCCCUAAAAUAAUAUCAACACAGAGGAUGCAUCCUAAAGAUGCCUUCCCCCAAAACCUUUUGUUUUCAGAUGAUUUUGACAUUUUUGAUUCACUAUUUCGCUGGUACAUUUUCAUCUGGAUUUAGUCCUGUUCUGUGUUAUUUCAUUUAAUACAAGGCUGAUCUUUUAAACAUCUGAGCAACUUUUAAUAGUGACUUAAGAAAUGUGACUGAUACAUGAUUUUUUUUUCUCUUUGUACUGAAUACAAUUGUGCAUUGAAUUAUCCAGGUAAUUUUAUUGACUAGUGGUGUGUCUUUUUAUCAGUGGAGAUAGGUCACAGGCCUUGUGACAGAAGGUGGGGAGAUUGGUGGUGGUCUCUCGUGGAAGUGUAAUACGGCUCCAACUGCAGCCUCAGGCUAGUAUAAUUCUCCCAUGGGGUGUGCCACCAGGGUGGUGAAAAGUCACUGGAUCUAGGUAAUCAUAUCUGCUUUUGUCCAAAUUGACCCUCCACUGGUCUUUCCCAAGCCCACUAAGUUUCCCCAUGGGUUAGGGCACAAUGAAUAACAGAGACUAACCCCCACAACGGUAGGAAGGGUGUGUGGUUGCUGCAUUGGCUCUAAUCCUUUACCCUACAUUGAGGCACAUGCAUUCAGAGCUAAACCAUAUUUCACAAAGACAAGAGCAUGCUAAAACAGGAUGAGUACAUCACAGAAGGAGAUGACUGAUAUAAUCUUCAGUAUCAGCCUCAAGAGAGAUUUGAUUUGAUUGUGGUUAAAGGGGAUGGAGAUGGGGAGGGGGUGUCUUUCUAUUCCCUUGGCUCCAAUACUGUGUGUUGAAAGGGUGGAAGGACACCUUGUGAAAGUGGAAGGGAGAAGAUGGGAAGAAAUCCAGUAAAGAGAAGAAAUAUUUUGUGCUAUUUUUUACAUGAGCUAAAUUCUACCCAGGGCCGACUGCGGUGGGUUCAGAGGCAUGGCUAAGAUGACAAUUUGAUCUGUGCUUUCAAAUACUUCAUGAAAUCAGUCCCUUUUUCAUAAAUGAGAUGCAUGGCAUUUUGGAUCUGUGGGGCACUCGUAGCCAGACAUAAAUUUACGCACCUUGGAUCUCACGGGAAAUGAGAGGAAUAAUCAAGACGAGAAUUUAGCGUGGACCUCAGUUCCCCUAAAUGUCUUGCAUGUUUGAGUCACCCUAAAGCACUUAAAAAAUGAAUCCCACAAGGCUGCGUGGUCUUGAAGAAGUGUCUUCAGACUGAGGUGAGGCCCUUGUGCCUUGGUGGAGAGGGCAGCCCUAUUUGCAAGAGAAAAAGCCUUUGAUUGAGAACUUGUCUGAGGUGAAGUAUUCCCAUUGCUGCUUUGUAGGCACUAGUAAGCUGGUGUGUGGAUACUCCACUGGUCUUUCCCAAAACCAAGUGUUGGGGUGUCCUUGCAGCACUCUGCACUUCCUUGGUGAGCAAUAGAUUCAUAGAUGUUGGGGUUGGAAGGGACCUGAUCAAGUCCGACCCCCUGCCCUGGGCAGGGAAGGGUGCUGGGGUCAGACAACCCCAGCCAGAUGCCUACCCAGCCUCCUCUUAAAGACCCCCAAGGUAGGGGAGAGCACCAAUUUCCUUGGAAGCCCAUUCCAGAUUUUGGCAACCCUUCCCAUAAAGAAGUUCUGCUCGUCUCUUCAGCUGGCCAUCCCAGAAGACAAGGUCCUUGUGGCUUUCCUUCCACCCAACAGCAUUGUGAUGUAAGGACCAAACAGCACCUGGCCCUUAAUUUUGUAACAAGUGGGAACAGCCAUCUCUGUCCCUGUCUCUGCUAUCAUGAGCUAACCCAGAGGGAAUCCCCAUCCUUGGAGGGUUUUAAGACCCAGCCUUGGCUGGGAUGGUCUAGCUGGGGAUGGUCCUGCUUUGAGCAAGCGGUUGGACUGCAUGACUUCUUGAGGUCCCUUCCCACCCUCGUUUUCUAUGAUUCUGUCAUCUAAAGACAAAGCUCAUGCAGACGAAGGGAGAGAAACACGAGCUUUGUCCUAAAUGUGCACGAUGAUGGAAGUGAUCCUCUUGGUCUCAUUCAGAAUUCAUUCCUCCUAGCAUCCAUCUUGGGUAAGUCUAUGAGACACACAGAAGAUGCACCAGCAAGCUCAGUAUUCAGCCUAAAACUCCUAUCCCUAGAGCAGCAUCAUGAUCGGUCUGAAAACGAACCUGAGCAGUUCAAAGGUAACACCUCCACGUUUACAUGUAGCGUGCUAUGGAGAGUCUUAGCGCAUCCGAGGUUAGACAUAACUUGAGCACACAAAGCCACGUCGCAGAGGUGCAGGGAAAUAGUGCACUUAACCUUCUGGCUCAAGGAGCAAUUCAUCUCUUUGUUCUGCUCUUUUGUAUCCAAACUGCACCUGGCCCUCUGAUUUUUUUUUUUUAAUUAUCAGGUAGCCUUAUAUAAAAAAAAAAAAAAAGCGCUAGACAGUUCAAGCCUGACCGUGUUAGAAACCAUCACCUUACAUUAAGGAAUGAAUUUACGUCUUUGUUCUGCUCUCGCACGGUAAUUGGAUGCUAAUAACCCAACGCAUGGUUUUGAUGCAGGAUGUUUAAGUUGUUUUUUGAUCAGCUGGAGCGGUAUGGCAGAAUUGCUGCUAGUUCCCUUUGCUGGCCUUGGCUACAUCCUUUUUCUCCCUGCCUCACUUCUCUAAGGCAGUGGUUUUCAGCCUUUGCAAACUCCAGGUAUCCCUCCAUACUUUGUGAAUUGAGUACCCAAGCCAAGCAAUAUAUAUUUAUUACAUAUUUAUUACCUACAUUGCUUAUCUCCUUGUAGACGAGCGAGGGAGGGAGAGCCUAAAUCUUCCUUUAUCUGCUUAUCUCUGCAUACUACCUGCAGCACCCUUCAAAAGACCUCAUGGCACCCCAGGGUGCCCUGACACCUUGGUUGAGAGUCACUACUCUAAGGGACUGAUCCUACCCCGUGUACCCAUGCCGAUUUACUCAUACAAGUAGUUCAGUUACCUUCACUUUCUUCUCACUUGGGUCUUGGGGCCACCUGAGUCUAGCAGCCCCUUGGACUAGUAUGUGCCAUGUAGCACACAAGGGGCUGCACCCCCUCCAGCCCCGUAAGACCAGGUGCCCGUCUUCAACCAGGAUGAUUAGGAGCAACCUUUAGCACAAGUCUGGAACAAGGUUUGAAGUCAUGCCUCUCUCUGCCAUGGUGCCUCCCACCGCAUGCUUACCCGUUUGCAGAUCAGGAGCAAGCACCCCGAAGUCAACGGUGUGACACUGGUUUCAUGGGUUGGAUGCGUCUACCUUGCAGUCCAAGUUGUGACUGCCCAGUGUUGACCCGGCAGACAUCGAAGCCUGUGCUGAGCCACGGUGUUUGCAAAGAUGCAGGCAUGCAACACAUUUAUGGACUCGACUGCCCAGUGACAGUGGAACAGGCACCCAAGGCACGGUCUCCUACAACGAACAGCCUUACACCAACAAAACAGUCACUUCACUCCAGGGGAAACGAGGAGGAACUUUACACUGGUGUAAUUACAGCCCGUGUCUUCUCCCCUAGCCAUUGCAUUCUGGGAUAGCAUCCUACCAUCGAGUAGCCAGGUGCUGCAAUAGCCCUUACUGCAGGCAGCCGUCAUGGGAAGAGUUGGUCGUGUCCACAUUUCCUACAGAGCAAAAUCCGUGGCACGUGGUUCUGCAAUAAGGUGUGUCACAUGCCUGCCCCCUAAGAGAAGUGAAGGAUUCUCCAUCUCUGAGAGGCUUCAAAUGAUGCUUUCAUGUCUAGUUGCUUUUGCCAAAUGCAAGUUAGUGGGCUCACUACAGGAGAAAGUGAGUGAAACUCUCUGGCCUGAAGUUGGAACAAUAACCGUUAAUUAAAUCUCAGGGUUUCUGCAACUUACAAGCCGGCAAUACAAACCACUUUUUCCUGAGCAAGAACUAAGACAUACAGGGCCAUAUGACUCAUCUUGUCAUCCUGUCUUUCAUGUCCACGGCCAUAAUCAUUGUAAUAAUAAGAGCUUGGCUGAAGAAUGGACAUUUCUGUAUGAAAUGUGGUUGUGUUUAAAACUUGUUUGUUUUCA